CGCUGGCGGCGUGCCUAACACAUGCAAGUCGAACGGAGAGUUCAUUGAGGAGACUUCGGUCAACGAGAUGAAUUCUAGUGGCGGACGGGUGAGUAACGCGUGAGUAACCUGCCUUACAGAGGGGGAUAACGUUUGGAAACGAACGCUAAUACCGCAUAAUAUGUCGAGUGGGCAUCCACUUGACAUCAAAGGAGCAAUCCGCUGUAAGAUGGACUCGCGUCUGAUUAGAUAGUUGGUGAGGUAACGGCUCACCAAGUCGACGAUCAGUAGCCGGACUGAGAGGUUGAACGGCCACAUUGGGACUGAGACACGGCCCAGACUCCUACGGGAGGCAGCAGUGAGGGAUAUUGCACAAUGGGCGCAAGCCUGAUGCAGCAACGCCGCGUGAGGGAUGACGGUUUUCGGAUUGUAAACCUCUGUCUUUGGUGAUGAUAAUGACAUUAGCCAAGGAGGAAGCCACGGCUAACUACGUG
rnacentral:rRNA from 1 species